AGACAGCUAGCCAAACCUCCACUGUCCCCUGGCUGUGGAACUGUGUCCGGAGAUGGUUCCUUCCGGUGGGUUCUUGGUCUCGCUCACUUCAAGAAUGAAGCCGCGGACCUUCACGACAGAAAAGUUCUCCAAGUCCCCACCGGACCAAGAAGUCCAACUGGCUUCACCUCCCAGAACAAGCCACCAAGGAAACCACCUGGAUCACACAGAAAUCACACGCAUGACCCUGACCUUGGUCCCUUCUCAACAGAAAAUUUAAAAUAAAAUAAAACAACCUCUCAAAA